GGCUUGGUAGCACUUGGAUGUGCCCUGCAUGAAAUUUAUGCUUUCCCACAAUGUGGCUAUGCAGGAGGUGCCCGUUCGACUCGGGCCUGAGCCA